GACGAACGCUGGCGGCGUGCCUAAUACAUGCAAGUCGAACGCAGUGGGGACGGGUGAGUAACACGUGGGUAACCUCCCAUCAGAGGGGAUAACACUUGGAAACAGGUGCUAAACCGAUACUGAUUGAUGGACCCGCGGUGCAUUAGCUAGUUGGUGAGGUAACGGCGCACCAAGGCCACGAUGCAUAGCCGACCUGAGAGGGGGAUCGGCCACACUGAGACUGAGACAGGGCCCAGACUCCUACGGAAGGCGGAAGUGGGGAAAUUGCGGCAAUGGACGAAAGUCUGACCGAGCAACGCCGCGUGAUUGAAGAAGGUUUUCGGAUCGUAAAACUCUGUUGUUAGAGAAGCGGUAUCUAACCAGAAAGCCACGGCUAACUACGUGCCAGAGGCCGCGGUAAUUC
rnacentral:rRNA from 1 species